AGUUUGAAUAGUGCCAUGUGGUUGAAGGAGAAAAGGAAUACCCAACUGUUUUGAGUGUCAGCUCCCCCAUUCAACAUUAAACUUUAUGAAACUAAUUUCUGAACAGCUCAAGACAGAACUGCAGUGUAACAGACAGCACAGUGGCAUGUAUUAUGUUAGAAGACUACUAAGCAGGGUAAAGAUUGCCGAGUACUUGCCUGAGCUAUAAAAAGAAUUACAGGAAUGCAAUUUUUGUGGAAUAGUGGCGAGGAAGUGCUUUAUAUGACUGACAAUAAUGUUGAAUAUUAUUUCAUACUCCCCGCACUCCCAUGGAUCUAACUGUUUAAUACCUUCACCUGGAUGUUACCAUUUUUUCAAGAGAGAAAAGGCUGAUUGAUGGGAUUUUACAAUGAAGGUGUCACUGCUGUGGAAUCUUUGCUCAACAGAAAUGUAGCCAGGGUUUAAUUUUAUGCUUUUAGCAGUAGCUGAAAAUUGUGAUGACAAAUGUUAUUUUUCUAAGUUUAACUGCAUAAUUGGCUACUUCUGUUUUCACUUUUUUAGAAGUUUUCCUUUAACCUGUACUUCACUGUACCGAAAGUUUAAUAAUUUGGAAAAAAAAUUAUUAAAAGCAAAAUUAAAACAUUUUAAAUGCAGACAUUCAUUUCUGCUUAUAAUAAAAGGUGUGUUGGGUAUGUUUGCCAGCUUGAGUUAUUUCUAAAAUAAUAAAGGUGAGAUACAAAUAAAUAAUAAAUUCUAGCAUGCGCUUAAAGUUU